CGCGACCCCAGGUCCGGGAUUACCCGCUGAGUUAAGCAUAUCAUAAGCGAGGAA
rnacentral:rRNA from 1 species